rnacentral:rRNA from 1 species
AUUGAACGCUGGCGGCAGGCCUAACACAUGCAAGUCGAGCGGAUGCUGGGAGCUUGCUCCUGGACUCAGCGGCGGACGGGUGAGUACUGCCUAGGAAUCUGCCUGGUAGUGGGGGAUAACGUCCGGAAACGGGCGCUAAUACUGCAUACGUACUGUGGGCGAAAGUGGGGGAUCUUCGGAUCUCACGCUUACAGAUUAGGCUAGAUCGGUUUAACUAGUUGGAGGGGUAACGGCCUUCAAAGGAUGCUAUGCGAAACUGGUCUGAAGGGAUGAUCAGUCACACUGGAUCAGAGACACGGUCCAGACUCCUACGCGGAGCAACAGUGGAGAAUAUUAGACGAUGGACGAGUGCCUAAUCCAGGCAUGCCGCGGGAGUGAAGAAGGUCUUCGGAUGGGAAAGCGCUGAAAGUUGGAAGGAAGUACAGUAAGUUAAUACCUGACUGUAUUGACAGUACCAACAGAAUAAGCACCGGCUAACUUCGUG